rnacentral:rRNA from 1 species
UGGGGAAUCUUGGACAAUGGGGGCAACCCUGAUCCAGCCAUGCCGCGUGAGUGAUGAAGGCCUUAGGGUCGUAAAGCUCUUUCGCCUGUGAAGAUAAUGACGGUAGCAGGUAAAGAAACCCCGGCUAACUCCGUGCCAGCAGCCGCGGUAAUACGGAGGGGGUUAGCGUUGUUCGGAAUUACUGGGCGUAAAGCGCACGUAGGCGGACCAGAAAGUUGGGGGUGAAAUCCCGGGGGCUCAACCCCGGAACUGCCUCCAAAACUAUUGGUCUAGAGUUCGAGAGAGGUGAGUGGAAUUCCAAGUGUAGAGGUGAAAUUCGUAGAUAUUUGGAGGAACACCAGUGGCGAAGGCGGCUCACUGGCUCGAUACUGACGCUGAGGUGCGAAAGUGUGGGGAGCAAACAGGAUUAGAUACCCCUGGUAGUCCCACACCGUAAAACGAUGAAUGCCAGUCGUCGGGUAGCAUGCUAUUCGGUGACACACCU